GAAGCCGCCUAUGAUGGCGCCCAUUUCCUGCUUCCGGGUUCUUCCCGGCCUGAACAAGCCCGCCAAAUUGUCAUAUCUGCCCAGUUACCCGUGACGCUAGCCUAUCAGCUUGUUAGGCGCGCUUCUCUGUGAUUGGAUACUGCUUCCCCUUAUAAGAGGUUGUUCCUGCCCCCAACGGCGGAAGAGGAAUCAACACCGAGGGUGGCGGACCUUGUCAGGUCCGGUUCGCUGUACGUAAUAAAGUUUGAGAGCUGAUCCUGCUCGAGUUUGGUCUCCUGUCUCCCGCGGCUCCGGUCAUCUGGUGGCCCCCGUACGGGGAAAAAGGUAAAAGACUCAGCGACGUGCCUCUUCGGCCGGGAGGUGCGAUUGCUGUCGCCUGCGGUACGACGGAGGACCUGGCCCAAUAACAACGGAAGGCCGCGAGCACCUCUUCUCUUCACCCUGAUCAGCUACGUGAGAUACAGCGGUUCCCGGGACAGGAACCAGGCUGCGAACCGCUGUGGGUCCCGGAAAGAUUGACGCGAGCAGGAAACUCCCCACCAGUUCCUGAUAAAGCACAGGAGGAUAAGCCCGCGGACACAAGUCAACUCGACCCUUCUGGGACCGACGCUCAGCGCCCGAGACCAUCUACAAACUAAAAUGUCUGGUUUGGAGUUUUUUCUAUUCUGUGGGUUCCUAUUAAUCACCCCUGUGAUAUGCUCAGAUUCCACAGAACCACCACAAUAUCUUUGGGGUCCUUGGCACCACCCGCCUACAUUGGCACCUUUUUCGGCGGCCUCGCCCGCCUCACCCAGGGUUUACACCAUCAAUCAAACAGUCCUUGAUUAUGCUAAUUGCCAUGGCUAUCCUAGUAGGGCUUGUGGUUAUUAAAUGCUUGUUAGAUCGCCUCAUACAAACUCAGCAGCAGGUUAAGAUCACAGCUAUGGCAGCCAUGCAAAUGGCAGCAGGUGGCCCAUCAGGCCAGCAGGCCGCCGCAUAUCUCCUUCACAUUGCAGAACAUCAGCUAUAAGAGCUGAGUGGGCAAGCCAAUGACGGGUAAGACGGGAAAAGCCCUCCCGGUCAACCUAAGACAGGCUCCACUCAGAUAUACAUGGCCUAUAAGGCCAGGGGUCCCUCCCGGAGUCAAAUUAUUGGCAUUGAGAUGCGAGACCAAGGGUACUGCAGUGCCAUCCGCCCCAAAGGUUGGGGGGAAGGCAGGAAUGAAUGUCUAUAUGCAUCCAGGUUCGGUUCACAAAAGCCUGGCCCUGCGAAAAAAUGAACCACUCACCUUGAGCAUGGUCCUGGCGCAAGGAUAUGCACAAAACAGGGUGAUGCACAGCAGGGUAUAGACCUCUACAUUCUCUCAUGCCUCGGCCUACAAGGUAGGCCCACUCCUAGGUGUCUAACAGCAACAAGGUCAUAGACACCUUGGAGGGACCUACAGACCAUCCUAUUUUAAUAAAUAAAAAAGGGGGAGAUGUGGGAAGCCGCCUAUGAUGGCGCCCAUUUCCUGCUUCCGGGUUCUUCCCGGCCUGAACAAGCCCGCCAAAUUGUCAUAUCUGCCCAGUUACCCGUGACGCUAGCCUAUCAGCUUGUUAGGCGCGCUUCUCUGUGAUUGGAUACUGCUUCCCCUUAUAAGAGGUUGUUCCUGCCCCCAACGGCGGAAGAGGAAUCAACACCGAGGGUGGCGGACCUUGUCAGGUCCGGUUCGCUGUACGUAAUAAAGUUUGAGAGCUGA